UUUAUAUCAAUUGGCUAAAUACAGCACAUCUGGUUCAGCUAAACUAAAAA
rnacentral:sRNA from 1 species